rnacentral:lncRNA from 1 species
GUUUGAAACAAACGUUCAAAUUUGCAAUAAUAACAACAAUAUACAUUAUCUACAUAGAGAAAUGCUUGUACCAAGUCACGAAUAUGACAGUUGAUUACUGUACGUUUGGAUGUGUUUGAGCUUUUGAUUUUGCCUUUUGUUAAGGGACUUCCCUUGGAGUUCGAUAUUUUUUUAAUUUUACUUAAUACACCUUCUUUAUCAUCCCAUAAUACAAGAGAUCACAUUUCAUUCUGUUGCCGCUAAAAAUCAGCCUUUAAAAACAC